GCCAGGCAUGGUAGUGCAUUUCUAUAGACUCAUCUACUCAGGAGGCUGAGGCAGGAGGAUUGCUUGGGUCCAGGGAUUCCAGGCACUAUGCCAGUCAGGUAUCUGCUCUAAGUUCAGCAUCAACAUGGUGACCUCCUGGAGGCAGGGCACAGCAGCUUCUCUAAGGAGGACUGAACUGGCCCAGAUUGGAAAUGAAACAGGUUAAAAUUCCCAUGCUGAUCAGGAGAGAGAUUUCACGGAUAGACAGCCACUGAAUUCCAGCCUGGGCAACACAGCAAGACACCAUCUCUA
rnacentral:SRP_RNA from 1 species